AAACAGGAUACUCCCCUUAUGAAAUACCGUUAUCAUAGGCCUCCUCCCAUCCUAUGGGGGCUUCCAGGCACUCCCUGAGAGUUAGGUGAAAUUAAAUUACAGCGACAACUACAGGUUUUAGGAAAAAUUACACAAACAAUCUCAACUUGGGUAAAUGAGAGGUGUCCCAUCAGCUUAUUCUCCCCAGUUCACCCUUUCUCUCCAGGUGAUCACAUGUGGAUCAAGGACUAGAACAUAGCCCCUUUGCAGCCACGGUGGAAAGGACCUCAGAUUGUCAUCCUGACCACCCUCAAGGCUGUAAAGGUAGAAGGAAUCCCAGCCUGGAUCCACCACACCUGUGUGAAACCUGCAGCCGCUGAAACCUGGGAGGCAAAACCAAGCCCGGACAACCCCUGCAAAGUGACUCUGAGGAGGACGACAAGCCCUGCUCCAGUCACACCCAGAAGCUGACUGAUCUACGCACGGCCAAAGCAUGAGAAGGAUCAUCGUGGGACUCAUUUUCCUUAUAAUUUGGACUUGUGUAGUAAAAACUUCCACUGAUUUUCCCCGCAUGGAGGACUGCUCUCAGUGUAUACAUCAGGUUACCAAGUUUUACAGGCUCCCAAUCUGAAGCAAUAUGGGAAAACACAAGCUGCUCUCAUGGAGGUAUUUUAUCCCGUGAGUAAAAUAUAUCACAAAGAAAGAAGUGAGUGGGCUACAGUCAAAAAGAACAUCACAUUAAAAAAAAAAAAAAAAAGACAACCCUGGAAUGAAGAUUGUAAUCGCUUUAACAGCAGUAAUUAGGCUUAUUGUGAUAUCCCUAGCACCUAACUUAGUGUCUGAGUAGACACUUGAUAUCAGAGUAGGUGCUCAGAGAGCUUGUUUGCUAAAUGAGCAAAUGAAUGAUGUCUCACUGCAUUGUGGCCAAGGAGACUGCUUUAGAAAUAAUCAUAAAUACAUAUAAUAAAAGGAAUUUACUGUGCUAGACUCAGUACAUCGAGGACCUGUUGAAGGGGCUAGCACCUGGGAUGAUUACCAUCACGCCCUGAGAUGACUAUCUCGAUUAUUUUGACUUCAUUCUGCUGCUGAGAGAUUGAUUUUAAAGAAAUAAAACUAACAGACUGAGUUUCCUCCUCUGUUCCCUGUGAGGAUUAACUUGGGUGGCGGCAGGACACUUGCUAGUCUAUGUCAGUGUUACGCUCCGAGUAGCCUCUCACAACCCUGAAAAUAAAUAUUUUAAAACAAAAAAAAAAACCUAGACAAUAAAUUGGGACGUUUCCAGCAUCUUUCUUCUGUAAAAAUACUACAAUCUCUAGAUGUUAACGCAACAAAAGAAAUCCGUAACUUUAAGGCCUCUCAUAACUGCCCUCUUUUCCCCUCCCUCCUCUCCUCUCUAAAACAGGUUAUGUCUGCAGGCUUCUUCAAACUCCACCACACCAUUUUCUCAGGAAAAAUCCCUGCACUGUAGGUGGGUCAACAAAAUCAAGCUAGAGGUUCUCUUUACACAUAUUGAUGGCUUAUUUCUAUCAGUAAAAGGAUAUUUCCUUCCCUCCUUCCUUUCUUCCACAAACAUCUGGGCACUGUGCUAAAUACAAGGGGUGCAACUGUGAACAAGUGAGACAGAGUUCUCAUUCUAGGUUUGGUGAGAGAUUUAGAUAAGUAAAUGGGAAAUUACAGUGUUAGAUGCAAUGCAAUGAUCAAAAAAAUGUAAGGUUGGAGGGUCUGGAGGCUUCUGAGUAAAUGAUAUUUAAGCUGAGACACGAAGGGUAACUGUGUGCCAGGUGAAGAGUUGGGAUGGGGGAAAAUAAUGGGUAAAGUCAAAGGAACAAUGCCUGGCACCUAUCUGCUGGUAUCGCCUCUUAGGAUUCCAAACUAUUCUCCCUUAACUUCCCCAUUGAGCCUCACAGAUUUCAAAGGCUAUAAUUCUCAGCAGGGUUGAUUUUUUUUUCCCCCUUACCUGUAAGGAGUCCUGGGGCUUCAUGCACUCACACUUCAAAAGAUGCUUUUUCUGAUGCUUAGGGU
rnacentral:lncRNA from 10 species